GACGAACGCUGGCGGCGUGCUUAACACAUGCAAGUCGAACGGAAAGGCCCUGCUUGCAGGGUACUCGAGUGGCGAACGGGUGAGUAACACGUGGGUGAUCUGCCCUGCACUUCGGGAUAAGCCUGGGAAACUGGGUCUAAUACCGGAUAGGAGCCAUUUUUAGUGUGAUGGUUGGAAAGUUUUUUCGGUGUAGGAUGAGCUCGCGGCCUAUCAGCUUGUUGGUGGGGUAAUGGCCUACCAAGGCGGCGACGGGUAGCCGGCCUGAGAGGGUGGACGGCCACAGUGGGACUGAGAUACGGCCCAGACUCCUACGGGAGGCAGCAGUGGGGAAGAUUGCACAAUGGGCGCAAGCCUGAUGCAGCGACGCCGCGGGGGGGAUGACGGACUUCGGGUUGUAAACGCCUUUCGCUAGGGACGAAGCUUUUUGUGACGGUACCUAGAUAAGAAGCACCGGCUAACUACGUG
rnacentral:rRNA from 1 species